rnacentral:misc_RNA from 1 species
AAACAUGGCACUUAUUAGGAAAAAUACGGAUUAACAACCAAUAUUUUAUUUAAAGAAAUGAGAUAAUGGGUAAGAGUAGAAACAAAACAAUUUUGUCUCUGUGUUGGUUUAGUUUGGUUUUAUAUUCAAAAGAAUUGGUUUGGUUUGAAAUUAACUGAUUGCAAUUUGCCAUCUGAUUCUAAACCUUGAACCAAUCAAACCAGAACAUGCAUACUGUUAAACAGUAGACAUGGUGCACAACUCUUGUCUGAAUUGUAUACACAGUAAACAAUCAAAUGUCAGAGAUUGUAUAUGCAGUAAACAAUAAAAUGCUUUUAUAUAAUUUGUUCCAUUUGUUAUACAUUCUGCAACUGCUAUUUUAACACUUUUAUAACACCUUUGUUUUUAUUGGUCUCUGUUCUAGUCUUCCUUAUGCUUGAAAAAAGUAUUCUCUUAUGUCUUCCCACACAGCCCUCAUGUUCCUUCCUUUACCUUCUCAUUCACUUCACAAACAUUUGCUUUAAACAAUGGUAAUGGCUAGGAAAAUAAGAAUAGAAGCUGCACAUGCAACUCCAUACAUUAGAUGAGAAAACGAAAAUAAAGACUGAUAAACAUUGCAGUUAUUGGGCAAAAUAUAAGAUUCAGAUGAAAAUAAAUAUACUAUGCAGUAAGGAGAGCUUCAACUGCAAGCAAAGAGGAACAAAUCAUUCUAGAAUGGAUGAUCAGUGUGGCUACAUUUUAUGAAGGGAAAGAUUAAUAUUCAACUGAUGUAAAUUGAGUUUGAAUUUGUCUAAUGAACUCAAAUUUCCAUCAAAAAAUAAGUAGGAAUUUUGAAACAAAUUUUCAUAUUAUCAAAGCGUUUGACAAAAAAAUUUCUCACAUUUUUUCAAAGCUUUGAGGAAGUUGUAAAUUACUUGGGGCUUUAAAAGACACCCUUUUCCCGGAAGCUGAAGAACGGACCAAGUAUUUUGCUUCUUCUAUGGGAGUGGGCCAAUACUCCAUACCCCUGCGAUUUGUUAUCCAUAAACAAGCGCCAGCUUUGCUCUCAUCCGUAAUGAGCUCAAAAGCACCUUUUGAAAGUAGUAGUUGUGGAGAAUAGAAAUAUUUAUGAUGAUCUUAGCUUUAAAAAGAAUAAGGGAGAGAUUUGUAGAAAGGAGGAGAAGUAUGAGUGAAAUUUUGAGAGAAAAUGCAUAGAAACAGUAACUUGUGAUAGGGAUGUGCUGUAGAACCAAGAGAAAAACUAGAAGAAUGGAAGAGGCCAAAGGUUUUGAAAUUGUUGAGAGGUUUCUAGAAGGCCAGCUGUGCUCCAGUCAAUUAGAGGAAAUUUCGGGGGCCAUGUGACAGUAGUUGUAUAAAAGAAUAUGAAGGAAGAGGGUAAGAAGCUUGUGAGAAAGUUAUUGUAAAUUCCAGCUAGAAUACUAGCUUGGGGGCAGAAAUAUGAGGGAAGAGGGUAAGGAGCAUGUGAGGAAGUUGUUGUAAUUUCCAGCAACCUAAGAAGUCUGCCACCAAGCUAGUA